rnacentral:rRNA from 1 species
UACAUAGGGGGCAAGCGUUAUUCGGAAUUAUUGGGCGUAAAGGGCGCGUAGGCGGCUUGGCAAGUGGAAGGUGAAAUCCCUCGGCUUAACCGAGGAACUGCCCUCCAAACUGCUUGGCUUGAGACCGGGAGAGGUGAGUGGAAUUCCCAGUGUAGCGGUGAAAUGCGCAGAUAUCAGGAGGAACACCGGUGGCGAAGGCGGUUCUCUGGGCAUGUCCUGACGCUGAGGAGCGAAAGUGUGGGGAGCGAACAGG